rnacentral:tRNA from 165 species
GGGCCUAUAGCUCAGUUGGUUAGAGCAGCGGACUCAUAAUCCGUUGGUCCACAGUUCAAGUCUGUGUGGGCCCACCA